GGACAGAUGGCCGAGUGGUCUAAGGCGCUGCGUUUAGGUUCGUUCUAAACAUCCUCCGCAGUCUUCACGGGCGUGGGUGUAAGUUUACUCAACUCAACAACUUUGAAUCA
rnacentral:tRNA from 1 species